UUCGCAAUGCCCGAAAGGGUGACGAAGCGACGCCGCGUGCGGGAAGAAGGCCUUCGGGUUGUAAACCGCUGUCGGGAGUUAGGAAAUGCGAGGAUGUUAAUAGCGUCUUUGCUUGACUAAGGCUCCGGAGGAAGCCACGGCUAACUCUGUGCCAGCAGCCGCGGUAAUACAGAGGCGGCAAGCGUUGUUCGGAAUUAUUGGGCGUAAAGAGCACGUAGGCGGCCGUGUAAGUCGGUUGUGAAAGCCUUCCGCUCAACGGGAGAACGGCAUCCGAUACUGCAUGGCUCGAGUGCGGGAGGGGAGAGUGGAACUUCUGGUGGAGCGGUGAAAUGCGUAGAUAUCAGAAGGAACACCGGCGGCGAAGGCGACUCUCUGGCCCGUAACUGACGCUGAGUGUGCGAAAGCUAGGGGAGCAGACGGGAUUAGAUACCCCGGUAGUCCUAGCCGUAAACGAUGGGCACUAAGUAGAGGGGUUUU
rnacentral:rRNA from 1 species